ACAAACAUAUCCAGCAGUGUGCCCUUUGGACACACGGACACACGGACAGGGGCCCGCGGACACUCUGUGCGGGAGCCCCCGGUGAGGGACUGGGACCUGCCGACCCUUUGCGCAACAAAGGGCCCCGGGACCUGUGGCCCGGCCAGCUGAGGGACACUCGGGGACAGCGGGAGCUGAGCGUUCCAGACUUUGGGCACAGCCAGUUAUUGCAUCAAGAUUAAAUCAUUUCAAGGACUGAGACGUCUGAGACUCUGCGAUGGGAAAGCUGGGACUGAGCUGGAGGACGAUCUGCAGAGUCCUGCCCGAGCAGGAGAGGGGUUGUGGUGCCUGAUGGUUUGUACGACCCCUCUGGGGAGAAGGGAAGGAAAAGGCUUCUGCUACUUUAAAAAAAAAAAAAAGUAAAUGAGAAAAUGGUUUUAAAGCUCUGUUGUGAUUUUACGGAGGUUGAGGGUUCAGCCCCUCGGAUCUGCAGAGGAUUUUGGCACUUA